UACAGAGGGGGGCAAGCGUUGUUCGGAAUUACUGGGCGUAAAGGGCGCGUAGGCGGCCUUCUAAGUCGAACGUGAAAUCCCCGGGCUCAACCCGGGAACUGCGUCCGAUACUGGAAGGCUUGAAUCCGGGAGAGGGAUGCGGAAUUCCAGGUGUAGCGGUGAAAUGCGUAGAUAUCUGGAGGAACACCGGUGGCGAAGGCGGCAUCCUGGACCGGCAUUGACGCUGAGGUGCGAAAGCGUGGGGAUCAAACAGG
rnacentral:rRNA from 1 species